UAAUACUAGAAAAAAACAAUGGUUUCUGCAUUGCAACUUCAAAUACAUAAAUCUCAUUUUUGAUAUAUAAAAACUGGGAUUUUCCGUAUUAUUUUUCAAAUUUAUGUACAUAACAUACUCCAAGUAAAAGUUUAAUUGAAAGGAUACCCUUAUUCAACGAAUUCAAAUUUUAAUUUCAAACUUCAAAUACCAUGGCAAGAACGCUUUCACGGAAUUUGUCGACUCUAUCUGAAUCUUAACGCUUUCAAUGGAUUCUCUAGCUCUACUUCAUGUGUUGAGAUUAAAGUGAACCUGCAAAAUCAAAGAUGAAGGUUUUUAAGCUAUAAGUGAACUGCAAGUAACAUGUUAAAGUAUUUCCUAGUUUUCCUGUUUUUCAAGAAAAGUUUGUGCCUAAAUCCUACUUUCUAAAUACUAUUCCUUUCCUUUUUAGUCCUAUCGUGUACGAAUUACAAACUAAAUAAAAAAUCAAGGGUAUACAAACAUUGCUUCAGAUUAUCAUGUUAAAGGUAACAAACAGGUGUGAUGCACAGAGUAUGGUAGAUUGGUAGUAUUGAGAAACCAAACCAAGAAGAGGAAAACACAAGUGAUCACAGACCACUCACCUUGAAUGCAGGUUCAGUUUCUACUAACCUGACCUGUCAAAAAUUUCCAUCACAACCCAUAUGCAUUCUGAAAAAGAAACAAAAAAUAAAAAAUAAAAAAAUAAAAAAUUACUAAUAUCAACAAAAACUUUACUAGAAAUUAGGAUGCAGAGUUUAAAAUAUGACACACGAGCAUACCAAUGGAACUCCAUUAAUGCUCUUUUCAAUAUUGUUCAAUGAUCCAAGACUCGAUCCCUCAAAGAGAGAAACUAAUCAAAAUCAACACACACAUCUCAAUUCAACAGAGUAUGAAAACAAAGGAGGGGGGAAACCUAGCAACCUCGCUCGCAUCAUUCCACAAUUAACACUAUGUCUUGAAGGCCUCCAUUCUCCAGAUCAUUACAAUAGUACAUCUGCAGUCCAUCAAUAAAAUUUAGUUCAAUGUGCGAGUCAUUUUGUCAGUCUGGGAUAUAUGUUGGACCAUCCGCCCAGUUUGUGCGCAGUUGUGGAAUCCUACUCUAUUAGUCAAGGAUUUACAAACUUCACGAAUUCCCCGACCCCUCCCAAAUAUGCAUCACUAAAUAUAUUUCGUUCAUUCAUCCACUCUUUUUGAAUUGGGUACGACAUCUGCAAGACUAUAUACAAAACUAAGGUUUAGAAGCAUUUGGAAUUUAUAAAACAUUAUGAUUUAGUGGCUAUGGUAAUUCAGUACACUCAUAGCUAUUUUUUUUUGAUAAAUAGCUAUCAAUUAUGGGAUAAUGCAAUUUUGAGAUAAAAGGAUAAAAAACCAUCACAAUUCACAUGUGUAUGAGUUAAUAUUAAAUAACAGCAUUGAACUUGGUGUAUGCACUAAAAUGCGAGUAAAAAAAAAAAAAAACACAAUUCUUCAACUUACACACAAUAAAAAAUAUAUAUAUAUUUCAAACCUAGUAUUGGGUUUAUGUAACACACUGUUAGGAAGAAAAUGGUAGUACUUGUAAACAAUGCAGUAUAGUGUUUGAAAGCAUAAGUGCAUGUGUACAGUGCAGUUGGGAUACACUGAAUAGAAUCAAAGUAUGACUUAUGAAAUUGUUUUGGAAAGGUACCUCUACUCAAGCCAACAAAAUCAAGUAUAUAUAUCCCUUUAUCGGUUAGACCUAACAACUCGUCUUCUCUCUGCACAACAAAAGACAUUUGUCAGUUCAUACAACUUAACAACAAUGACAACUAAAUUUAUGCAAAUGCAUCAAGGAAUAAUAAAUCUGGUCAAUAUUGCUAAACAUUGUCAGUAGGAGUGACCAUCUAAACUACAACCUUACUUAAAAAAUAGCUUCACCAGAUGAAAAAAAAGGUACAGACAAGCAACAUGUUGCACAACUUGAGAAUUUAGGUUCAUAUUCUAUUAUAAGCAAUGUACCUAAACAAUUUGAUCCAACUGAACCCUAUAAUGUCUGUCAUCAUUUAUAAAAUCCAUCAACAAAUCUCCAAUACUAAAUGUCUUAUUUUAUGCUUAAAAUAACAUCUAGAUAAUUCAAACAGAAUGGAAGAGUCAUUCUAGCUCACACUAGAAAACGUCCGAAUAAACCAGCAACGAAACUGCCGAGCAGGGACAAAAAUACGAUAAGUAGAUACAUCAGAUCGAGUGUAAUCAGACAACCAAAAAUCAGACAAUGACAGAGCGGCAUACCGGAGAAGAAAGUUAGCCCCAUGGAGGUCCGUCCUGAGCAGUAUGCCUAUUUACUCCAUGAGUAUACAAAUGGACAAGUGGAGCAGCCAUGGGGGUAGUAGCAACCUUCAGCCAUCUCUCCAACCAUUCUUUUACACUCCGAACAUCUUCUACCCUACAGUAUGGCAUUACAAUUCAUUAAGGACAAAAAAGCAUGACAAAAAGAGAUGGAGAACUGUAAUAUUCUUUUUCCUCCUGCAUAACAUACAUCUGUUUGGUAUAAAUGUAUAAUUGAUCCCAAAUGUCGAAGCCUGUCCACUGUUAGUAUCCUAUUCCACAGUAUGUAAACACCAGAAGAAAACUUCACUCUAUAUGACACUUCUUGUUCCCAUAAAAGAUGAGACUGUAAAGGACCCAGUAUUAGAUAGAGACAGAGAGUCCACCUCAUGGAAUCCUCCUCCUCCUCCUCAUGUCAUUAAAUUUUCAACUUCUUGUACUUCCCAUUCAUAUAACCAGUCUAUCAUCUUCAAGUUCCAUCCAUGAUUUUCUGUAGUGGAAUUCCAGAUGCUGCUACACCCCCAUGCUUAUCUCUUGCCCUCAAAUAGAUCCCAGGGAAAGCCUCUCUUAAAGUAACUUCACCACACCACUUAUCUGCCCAAAAUUUGAUUCUGGUUCCUUUCCCUAAAUUGAAAGCCACACAUUAUAUUCUACAAGUUUUUGCUCUACUGCAUAACUCUGCAUUACAUCUCUAGUAAACCAAUUAUAGUUGUCGAUUCGUUGCUUCCAUACUUUGCUUGAAUCACCUGCUUCCAUAGUCUGUCCUUAGUUUUCUUCUCCAUAUAUCUGUAGCCAUCCCAGCUUCCUAAUAAUGCUUCAUUCAUCUCCUUCAGUUUUCUAACCCCCCCCCCCCCCCCCCAACUCCUUUGGAACACAGACUUAAUGAACAAAAUGUCUAACAGUAUUAUGAAACACAACAUAUAGUAUUUAACAACACAACAUUUCAUUUAAUUAGGCCAAUAUCAUCAUCUCACUAUCAAAAAUCACCUUGAAAAUAGUUAGUUCGGUUUAAUUUAAUAAAAUAAGAUGCAUUUGGGUCAAAAUACUUGAGAAUUAAUUUAUGUUUCAACAAAAUUUAGCAGAGGUGAAUGACAAGAAUUAGAAUAAUACUAGUAAAACCAAUGAUCUGAUACUAGUCUUCAUAAGAAUAAAGAAAGUAAAGUUUAGGGACAACUUACCAACCACAAUGUACAGUAGAUGGAUAUUUGAAAUUUGAAGGAGGAGCACAACCAGUAACACAAGUGUUUGUGUAGAUAUCUAGAGAAAAACGUUCAAUUUAAACAAACCAACAAGAACACAUUCGAUCAGAAUCUCUCAAUUUUAAGAUUGCGGCAUUAGGAAAGUAGAGCUAACUCUAGCAAGUAAUGUCAAUGUGGACUGUAGAGAGAAAAACUCAAAAAAAAAAAAAAUUGAAAAUAGACAAAUUUUUUAUAAUUUUCACUAAUUAAGUUCAAAUAAAAAGUUUUCAUUAAUUUUCCAUUAUUAAUCUCACACAAUUAACAAUUGAAAGAAGAAAAAAAAUAGAAUAGACAAAGGAGAUGAUCGAGGCAGCGAUGGAAAAAAUGAUGAAGAUGAGGACUUACCGUGAGAACACCGAACACAAAGAAGAGAAGAAGCAAAGGAAAAGGGAGAGGAGAGGCGACGAUUGGAAAGUGAGAGGAAAGGCAGCGUAUAGGAAGUUUGGAGUUGGGGAAGAGAAGAGAAAAGGUUUUUAUUAAAGAGAAGAGAAGA
rnacentral:lncRNA from 1 species